UUUCCGUAGGUGAACCUGCGGAAGGAUCAUUAACACGUAUCCACGUAUCAACCCCUCUGUGCAAACCCUAACUUCGAAAGGUUUGGUCUUAGUGUGUUGUUCGCAUGGGUCCUAAUGAUGGAGGCAGUCAAAUGCCUAGGGCUCGAACGACAUGUGUUUGACGAUCAACCGCCACUUUCCCAUCGUUGGCCCCUCUUUUUAAACCCCUUGUACUUCUUUGUACUGAACCAAUUCUUCUGACGCUCUUUACUGAGUGACGGAUAGAUAUUACGAAACUUAAGAACAACUCUUAGCAACGGAUAUCUUGGUUCCC
rnacentral:misc_RNA from 1 species